rnacentral:rRNA from 1 species
AACGAACGCUGGCGGCGUGCUUAACACAUGCAAGUCGAACGCGAAAGGGACUUCGGUCCUGAGUAAAGUGGCGCACGGGUGAGUAACGCGUAGAUAACCUGUCUUCAUGUCUGGAAUAAUACGCCGAAAGGGGUACUAAUACCGGAUAUCUUGCUUUUCAUAAGUUAUGCAAGCAAAGGUGGCCUCUGCAUAUGCUACUGCAUGAAGAGGGGUCUGCGUACCAUUAGCCAGUAGGUGGGGUAAUGGCCUACCUAGGCGACGAUGGUUAGCGGGUCUGAGAGGAUGAUCCGCCACACUGGCACUGGAACACGGGCCAGACUCCUACGGGAGGCAGCAGUGAGGAGUAUUGCGCAAUGGGGGAAACCCUGACGCAGCGACGCCGCGUGAGUGAGGAAAGGCCUUCGGGUCGUAAAGCUCUGUCAAGAGGAAAGAAGUGUACAAUGGCUAAUACCUGUUGUAUUUGACGGUACCUCUAAAGGAAGCACCGGCUAACUCCGUGCCAGCAGCAGC